CGAACGGGUGAGUAACACGUAGGGAACCUGCCCGCGCACCGGGAAUACGCUCUGGAAACGGAGAACAAAUCCCGAUGUACAGGAAGGAGGCAUCUUCUUUCUGUGAAACAUCCUUUAGGGGAUGGGGCGCGGAUGGACCUGCGGUGCAUUAGUUGGUUGGCGGGGUAAAGGCCCACCAAGACGAUGAUGCAUAGCCGGCCUGAGAGGGCGGACGGCCACAUUGGGACUGAGACACGGCCCAGACUCCUACGGGAGGCAGCAG
rnacentral:rRNA from 1 species